rnacentral:rRNA from 1 species
AUUGAACGCUGCGGCAGGCUUAACACAUGCAAGUCGAGCGAGCGGCGGACGGGUGAGUAAUGCUUAGGAAUCUGCCUGUUAGUGGGGGACAACAUCUCGAAAGGGAUGCUAAUACCGCAUACUAAUCGAUGAGCCUCAGUCGGAUUAGCUAGUUGGUGGGGUAAAGGCCUACCAAGGCGACGAUCUGUAGCUGGUCUGGGAGGAUGAUCCGACACAAUGGGACUUAGGCACGGCCCCGACGCCUACGGGAGGCAGGAGUGGGGAAUAUUUGACAAUGGGGGGAACCCUGGACCCGCCAUGCCGCGGGUGGGGAGAAGGCCUUAUGGUUGUAAAGCACUUUAAGCGAGGAGGCGGUACUCGCAGAAUAAGCACCGGCUAACUCUGUGCCAGCAGCCGCGGUAAUAC